UUUCUGUGGAGGGACAGGGAAGAAUUAGACUGUGCGUCCAGAAGCCCUUUAAUACAGAAGCAACGGACACAGGAGCCAUCGCUGCAGGUGGAUGUGGUCCCCAGUGACCUCCCAACAUGGACCACAAGACAAGCAGCUCCGGCUCAGCCCCUUCCUCAUCUCAUCUGUCACAAAGACCUCAGUUGUCCCAUCCUGGUAGGACGUGACUCCUCCUGGACCUCUGCCGCCUCUGCCACUGCUGGGGCUGCUCAGCCCCCAUCACAUAGUCCCCAACAUCCUCUUCCUCCCACCUGCUGGCCCAUGCAAUGAGACACCAACCUCCAGCUGCCUAUGAAAGCCAUGGCGAGUGUUCCCCAGCACUUCCAGCACCGUGUGUGUGUCCUGGCCGCAGUCACCAGCCCUGCCACCCCUUUGCCCUGAGGACACCCAGCAGUGAGGGGUUUCCCUCCGAUUCCUGUGUGGCUACUGCUAAUAACAAAAGCUGGAGGACAACGCUGGGAAGACGAGACUGUCCUGAGCAACACCUUGACUCCAACCUGUCCCUUCUGCGGGGGGACAAGUCGUGUGGCAGGUGCUGCUGUUGUGUCCGCACACCCGGCCCGCUCCCCGCUGCGGCUCCGCUCCCAGACCUCAUCUCACCACUGUCUGGAAGGCUCAAAUGCGGAGAUGACACCGAGAUUGGCAGAGCAAAAACGCAGCUUCCAACAAAGCGGGGUGAACCUUUGCUGGAGUUCCCAUGCUUGCUUGCCUUGCUCCAUCUCCAGCCGAGCAUCAUGCUCUCGCUGUCAGUUCCCGUGCUGACAGGCCAGAGCUCGCUCCGGGGAACCGCCACCACCGAGGACAGCCACAUUACCCUCUGCCCCGCACCAUCUGCUACCAGCCCGGCACAUCAAGACAGUCUGUGCGCCAGCACAUCCAGCGCAGCAAAGGUUUCCUGGGGAUUUCCUGGGCCAGCGAGACUAGUUAAAAGGAUGCUGUCGUUUGCUUAAUGACUCUCCCCCACAUGCUGCUGUUUAACAGUGCUAAGAGUGUCGUUUCCAAACCUGGCACUGCACCAAGGGCCUGGGGCGAAGGUUGUGCCCGACUCCCUGGGGCACCUGACGCAGGUCCCUGUGCACAAGUUCCCCAGCCCUGCAGACAGCCCUGCUGCUGGCAGCGUGCUCUGUUCCCCAUUUUUUCUGCUCCAUUAUUAAAGCUGCCACCUCCA